AUCUACGGCCGUACCACCCUGAACGCCCCGGAUGUCAUCUGAUCUCGGAAGCUAAGCGGGAUCAGGCCUGGUUAGUAUUUGGAUGGGAGAUA
rnacentral:rRNA from 1 species